rnacentral:lncRNA from 1 species
UGGAUCUAUCCCUCUCCUUUCAAUUUCUCCAGCUCUCACUUACUGCCUGGCUUGUCUUCUUUUGGUGCUCCUCUCCUCCUCCAACUCCAUCUCCCUUUCCUUCCUUCCUUAUCUCUUUAUUUCACGCUCUCUAUCCCCAUCUCUCCCUCUAUUCUUCUCUCUCUCUCUCUCUCUCUCUCUCUCUCUCCCUCUAUUAUUCUCUCUCUCUCUCUCUCUCUAUUCUUCUCUCUCUCUCUCUCUCUCUCUCUCUAUCCCCAUCUCUUCUUCUAUUCUUCUCUCUCUCUCUCUCUCUCUCUCUCUCUCUCUCUCUCUCUCUCUCUCUCUCUCUCUCUCUCUCUCUCUCUCUCUCUAUCCCCAUCUCUUCUUCUAUUCUUCUCUCUCUCUCUCUCUAUUCCAUCUCUCUCUCUCCCUCCCUCUAUUCUUCUCUCUCUCUCUCUCUCUCUCUCUCUCUCUCUCUCUCUCUCUCUCUCUCUCUCUCUCUCUCUCUCUCUCUCAACCAGUCUCUCUCUCUCAACCAGUCUCUCUCAACCAGUCUCUCUCUCUCUCUCUCUCUCUCACAACCAGUCUCUCUCUCUCUCACAACCAGUCUCGCUCUCUCUCACAACCAGUCUCUCUCUCUCUCACAACCAGUCUCUCUCUCUCUCACAACCAGUCUCUCUCUCUCUCACAACCAGUCUCUCUCUCUCUCUCUCUCUCUCGCUCUCUCUCUCUCUCUUUCUCUCAACCCCAGCAGCAGCAGCAGCAGCAGCACACUAACAGUAUUAAUCACAGAACACUGAACACUGCCUGACUGCCAUUCAGCCAGCCAGCCUUUGUUGCCCAUGUUGCCCAGUGAAUGCAACUCCAGACCUUUUUGUCUGCGUAAGUGGACUCUUAGAGAUGGCUCCUCCCUUCCCAAGGACCCAGAGAUUACCUCUGAAAGAAUGGGUGAUGGGUAGUGGUGGAGUUGGCGGUGGUGUAGGGGAGAGUUGGAUGAGGGUGACAGAGAAAUGAUUGGGAGGAGUGAUUCACGACUCACGGGAAGGUGCGCC